rnacentral:rRNA from 1 species
UACGUAGGGGGCGAGCGUUGUCCGGAUUUAUUGGGCGUAAAGAGCGUGUAGGCGGCCAGGUAGGUCAGCUGUGAAAACUCGAGGCUCAACCUCGAGACGUCGGUUGAAACCAUCUGGCUAGAGUCCGGAAGAGGAGUGUGGAAUUCCCGGUGUAGCGGUGAAAUGCGCAGAUAUCGGGAAGAACACCCGUGGCGAAGGCGACUUUCUGGUCUGUAACUGACACUGAGGCGCGAAAGCGUGGGGAGCAAACAGG